GACGUUUUUUCUCCCAUUCCCAAUGUUCAUAGUUGACUCUCCUGGUCUCUAGGACUCUAGUCUUCUUGGUUGAAUUGUCGAUGAAUUUAUUUAUUAGAAAGUUAAUACUACGACAAAUCGCAUUGUUCAACUAAUUACAGUAUGUCAUCUAUAUCUAAUUUUACUUUAGUAGCAGCUAAAGCUGCCUUAGGUGAUAUUUUAGAUGCCUUUGCUGCCCCAGAAAACGCCAAGAAGUUAGUUGAGGCUAAAGAGAAUUCUGGUAACGAAAUGCUAAGAAUGAUGCAGUACGUCUUUCCAAUCGUAACAACGAUACAGAUGAAUGUCAUCAAAAAAUACGGAUUUUCAGAAGGUAGAGAAGGAACAGUACAGUUUGCGCAGUUUAUUAGAACUCUGGAAAAAGAUGAUCCUGAAAUCGCAAAACUUCACUCACAAGUUCGUUCAUACUUUUUACCUUCUGUACUAAAAAAUAUUGAUGAAAAGUGACUUUGAAAUAGUUUUUAGAAUAAGCUUAUAUAAUAAAUUUUAGAAACGAAUAUUUUACUUAUAAUAUUAGUUUUUUCAAAUCAUUACUUGUAGAUAUUUUUUCUAAAAUGAUAUGCCUAAAUCGCUAUUCAUUUCUCUGCCUGCUUAUACUGAUCCAGUCGUAAAAGGUAACACAAGGACUUCUAAAUCUUCGAAGAAAUAUAAAUUAUACCUAAAUAAAAUUAAAAAUGCCCGCCCGGUUCUUCCCAAAUAAAAUUUAAAGACUUUCACACCAUUGCAGAUCUACUGAAAUUUAGUAGUCGUUCUACAUAAAUGUAUGCGCAGUCACAACCUCGUGACUUUAUUAUAGUAGUUUCAUAUACAAGAGACAAGAAUAGAGCGUGACAAGUGUGAUUUUUUUGAAAAUCUAUGAAAAGUAUUUGAAUUAUAUUAAAUUAAUGUCUUAGAGCUCAAACGCACGACAAGCUAACUUUUGCUUGUAAACAUGGCUGACGUAAUUCUGAGUGAUCUAAGCAUGCGCACCACGUAAAAUUACUAGAAAAACCACGAUGGCUGGGGUCAUAUUACUAGUUUUAUGGGAAUUAGGACGGCCAUGUUUACAAGUUCGACACAACCAGCAGCAUUUUCAGCAGCAUUUUCAGCAUAGAACCGCUAAUUUCACACUAGUUUUUUUUUGAUAUAGCCAACAUUGAAAAAAUACAACAACAAUGGUUAGCAUUGUUAAUAAAUUUGUUUGUUUAUAUUUACACAUGUAUAGUACAUAUAUGUAAUGAUGGACUGUCAAAAUAUCAAAUUGUCAACAAAUAAGAAAGGUUAUAUUUUUAUUUAUUUUUUAUGUGUUUGUAAGCAAGUUGGUACAGCUGAAACAAUUUCAAGAAACGAUUAAAACGCCGCCCUAUAGCCGUUAUAUGUGAACUUUUUCUUCUAUAGUGCUAUGGCAUAGAACUUGGUUGGAAAACUAUGCUAGUGGCCACAUGCCUUAAGCAGAGUGGUGCCAAAGGCGAAAAGCUGCCCAGAACUGACGUAUAUUAUACGGAAACAUUUAGUGCCCUCUGUACUAAACAUGGCGUCUGGCGGUCUCGUUAUGAAUAUUAUUAAUAUUUGUUAUAAUAAACAAAGUGACACAGAGAAAAGAAAAGUACAACAGCAGUAUAAACAAACUGAUUUUCAUUAAUAAAAAGUGAUAGAUUAUAGUAAGUAUAUGAUUAAUUUUAUAAAUAUAGUUUAAUCAAAGUAUAAGACGUGUAGUAAAAUUGAAUUUGUUGUUAUUAUUUAGAUUUAAUUAAACAAAUGAAAUUGAGUUUUUUUUUAUAUUACAAAAAUGUUUGUAUGUCAAUAUUUGUUAUUUAUUAAUAAGUUUAGUAUUAAGUGGAAACUAAUUGAUUUAUUUUUAAUCUACGCAACAGGUAUUUAGUAAAACGGGUUAUUGUGCUGUACCAGGAUGUAAAAAUAGCACCAGGUAUCAAAUAGGUACAAAAUGCUGGUCUAGAUAUUACAAAACUCAUCGAGCAAUCGUUUAUCUGUGAGAUGGCAGAAAGAUGUCCUGUUUAGGACAACCCUUGUGGCGACUAUAAUGCGUCAACUUUAAGUACUACUUUUAACCAUAUUUUAAAGCACAACUAUUUGAACCGAUCGAAAAGAUGUCCAAAAGUCAGCUAUUAUUGGCCCACGCUCAUUGGUCCAUAAAACGUCGACAUUAUGUUGUUCAUGUAGACAUGUCUUAAAGUCAUCUUUUUGUACAGUCAAAAAGUACUGUAAAAAAUAGACUGUUUUAUAAACAAAGCUACGGAUCCGAUCAUAUAUUCAUUCAGAUGUGCGUCUGUGCAAUAGUUUUUUUCUAUCAUAGAUUAUUAUCCGAAUUGUCGUUUAUCAAUUAUAAAAACAUUAUCUAUUAAAAGAAAAAACAACAGUAGUUCUAUCUGAGCUCAGGACAAACAUAAAAAUUCAAGUUAAGUAUAUAUAAAUAUUUAUUUUAAUUUUGGAUCACAACCUAACCUAAAUCUCGUUUAUGAUUAAUACUAUUAUUUUCACUUAUAUUUAUUAAUUUACAACCGUUGAAUCAAUAUGAACAAAAUCCAAGUAAUAAUGAAAAUCAUGGGCCAAAUUGCUGCACUCGUAAUACUUUAAAAUUUAACAUAAUUUUUUCGGUUUUUCUCUUUAUAUUUUAGUAAAACUAAUAACUGGGUAUUUUUAUGUUCAAAGGUUGUCGUCGAAUGAUUAGGAUCAAACUCAAUGAAAUAUUAUUAAUACUGAGAGA
rnacentral:misc_RNA from 1 species